UCCGAGUUGACCCCGGCAGUCUCCUGCGAGUCCCCGCCAUUACGCGCUGGCAACACAGGACAAGGGUUGCGCUCGUUGCGGGACUUAACCCAACAUCUCACGACACGAGCUGACGACAGCCAUGCACCACCUGCACACCAACCACAAGGGAAACCACAUCUCUGCAGUCGUCUGGCGCAUGUCAAGCCCAGGUAAGGUUCUUCGCGUUGCAUCGAAUUAAUCCACAUGCUCCGCCGCUUGUGCGGGCCCCCGUCAAUUCCUUUGAGUUUCACCCUUGCGGGCGUACUCCCCAGGUGGAUGACUUAACGCGUGAGCUGCGGCACCGAAGGGGUCGCUCCCCCCGGCACCUAGCACCCAUCGUUUACGGCGUGGACUAC
rnacentral:misc_RNA from 1 species